CAGUCGCCGCGGGAAUACAGAGGGUGCAAGCGUUAAUCGGAUUUACUGGGCGUAAAGGGCGCGUAGGUGGUUAUGUAAGUGAGAUGUGAAAUCCCCGGGCUCAACCUGGGAACUGCAUCUUAUACUGCGUAGCUGGAGUGCAGUAGAGGGUAGUGGAAUUUCCGGUGUAGCGGUGAAAUGCGUAGAUAUCGGAAGGAACUCCAGUGGCGAAGGCGGCUACCUGGACUGACACUGACACUGAGGCGCGAAAGCGUGGGGAGCAAACAGGAUUAGAUACCCCCGUAGUCCCUGUCUCUUAUAU
rnacentral:rRNA from 1 species